rnacentral:rRNA from 1 species
AGCAGCCGCGGUAAUUCCAGCUCCAAUAGCGUAUAUUAAAGUUGUUGCAGUUAAAAAGCUCGUAGUUGAAUUUCGGGGUUAGCAGGUCGGUCGUGCCAUCGGUAUGAACUGGUCUCGCUGAUCCCUCCCUCUUGACGAACUGUGAUGCCAUUAAUUUGGUGUCGCAGGGAAUCAGGACUGUUACUUUGAAAAAAUUAGAGUGUUUAAAGCAGGCUCACGCUUGAAUACAUUAGCAUGGAAUAAUGAAAUAGGACGUUUGAUCCUAUUUUGUUGGCUUCUAGGAUUGACGUAAUGAUUAAUAGGGAUAGUUGGGGGCAUUAGUAUUCAAUUGUCAGAGGUGAAAUUCUUGGAUUUAUUGAAGACUAACUACUGCGAAAGCAUUUGCCAAGGAUGUUUUCAUUAAUCAAGAACGAAAGUUAGGGGAUCGAAGACGAUCAGAUACCGUCGUAGUCUUAACCAUAAACUAUGCCGACUAGGGAUCGGAUGAUGUUAAUUUUUUAAUGACUCU